AAGAAAACCCUACACAACUCUGGGACCAACACCAGGAGCAUAAGAAGGGUCUCAGCUGAUACAUACAGCUAUCAUAUAACUAUUAGCCCUUUGCAAAUGAGGUGCUAAAGAAAGAGAAAAAUGGGCAUAAUUGUUUUUUAAAAUGUUUUCUAAGUUCAUUAUCACCCACACACAGGCUCAUGAAUCCAUCUUUCACAUAUCUUCAUUCCACUCCACACACUGUGAUGUAAGGGACACAACAAAUGGGACUUUAGAACCUAUCUGAUACUUCAGGAAAAGGGGAAAAAAGUGAUUCACCAUUUGGUUCAAACAUAGACAGAGGGCAAAUCAAAACCCAAAACCAGUAAGAGAAAAUGAUCUGGAGCAACACAGUAAAAAUGAUU